rnacentral:rRNA from 1 species
AGCGUAGGUGGCCUAACAUGUCAACUGUGAAAACCCCGGAGCUCAACUCCGGACUUGCAGUUGAAACUGGUAGGCUUGAGGACGGUAGAGGAAGACGGAACUGCCAGUGUAGGGGUAAAAUCCUUAGAUAUUGGCAGGAACGCCGGUGACGAAGGUGGUUUUCUGGGCCGGUUCUGACACUGAUGCUCGAAAGCCAGGGGAGCGAACGG